CUGAAGCUCUACUAUUUACUAACAGUAAAAGACACUUGAUAGUCUACUAGUCAGGACAAGAAUAACUUUCUUUUUCCCACCAGAGGAGUACCUCUUUUCUCAUAUGCUGUCUCUUUAUCAAUUUACUGUAAUUUAUUUUGGUAUACUCUUGAGUUCCCAGUUAGAUCACACCUCCUUUUUGCUCCCUAAAAAUGAAUAGUAUUUGAGAUAAUUCCUGCCUGAAAAAUGGGAAUCCUUUUUCCUUUUUUUUUUUUGCACUUCCUUGAAUCGCUGACAACCCUCCUCCCACCAUCUUCUUUUUCUUUUACCUUAAGGUUCUCUGCAGCUAAUGAAGGAAGUGAAACUCUGGUAGAAUUAAUGCACAGCUACUGGGACUCCACCCUCUAACGGCUGUUGAUUCAACAGGCAUUACUCAAAUCACCACAGAUUAGAAUGACUGUAUUCAUUGAUGUUAUAUCUUUCAUGAGAUGAUGAUGAGUGCUUUAUAAAGCAAGCCUCCUUAAAAGCAGCAGCAGACUACAGAAUGAAAAGCUGUUCCAAAAAUGAUCCCAGACC